GAUGAAGAACGUAGUGAAAUGCGAUAAGUAAUGAGAAUUGCAGAAUUCAGUGAAUCAUCGAAUCUUUGAACGCACAUUGCGCCCGCCAGUAUUCUGGCGGGCAUGCCUGUUCGAGCGUCAUUUCAACCAUCAAGCCCCCGGCUUGUGUUGGGGACCUGCGGCUGCCGCAGGCCCUGAAAACCAGUGGCGGGCUCGCUAGUCACUCCGAGCGUAGUAAUACAUCUCGCUCAGGGCGUGCUGCGGGUUCCGGCCGUUAAAAGCCUUAUUUUACCCAAGGUUGACCUCGGAUCAGGUAGGAAGACCCGCUGAACUUAAGCAUAUCAAUAAGCGGAGGA
rnacentral:misc_RNA from 1 species